AUCUGUUUACACACAACACCACUCUGUUUACACACAACAUUAAUCUGUUUACACACAACACUAAUCUGUUUACACACAACAUUAAACACAAACUUCAUCAAAAAUGAAAAUACACCCAAAUAGAGUUAAAAAAAAAACAAACAUCACUUCCGGCUCCGAAUGUUUAUCUUUGUGUGUGUGUAUGGAUAUGGAUUUUCACAAGCCAAAACUCAUUCAUUCGAGAAACCAACUUCUUGCUCUGAAAAAGUCCCCCGCCGGUGUGGUUCCCUGUUUACCUGAUGAGAUGAGGAGGUGGUAUUGUGGCUGCAGAGCCGGUGCUAAGCUAAAGGCUAAGCGGCUAGCGAAGGCGUGGCGAUAUAAGCCUUUGGUACCUUCUGUAAUCAUGGGAAAAUGUGAACUCGCUACCGAACAAGAUCAAUGAGCUGCGCUGGUGAAAAAUGAUAAAACCUACAGAGAGUGCAGUUCACACAGACACACACACACACACACACACACACAUACACACACACACACACACACACACAACUGAGAACUGUUCUCAACAGAGAGCUGGACACACAUACACAAAAUGUUUCUUGUUUACAUGUACACAUCACUUUUACACUGAUCUUGUUUACAUGUACACAUCACUUUUACACUGAUCUUGUUUACAUGUACACAUCACUUGAAUAUUUAAAUACACGUCACUUUAAAUGUAUCUGUUAUAACUAAAUUACUUCUGUUAAUUCUGCUGCUAUAUUCACUGACCUAAACCUGUUUCUAUCCUUCUUUGCACUCACUGUCUAACACUGUCCUUUUGAUCAUAGUCAGUGUUAUGUGUCUUGUUUGUCUGCACUGUCUUGUCAUCCUGUGCCCUUAUGUUGUAUGUUUAGUUUGUAAAGAAUGCACCUUGUAGUAAUAGUUUAGCUCUAUGGUGGUCCACAUCACCUGUACUCUGUUUUUGUUCUGUGUAGCACCUCUGGUCCAGGAGGAACGUUGUUUCACUUCACUGUGUACUGCAUCAGCUAUAUAUACGGUUGAAGUGACAAUAAAGCUUCUUUGACUUUGACUUUAUUGUGCUUCUGAAAAACGUGGCUAACGUCUAGCAUUCCAGAUACUAACAUGGAGCUACCUGGCUUCAGCAUGGUCAGGGCGGACAGAGACACUAAAACCUGUGGGAAGCGGAAAGGAGGAGGACUCGCCCUUAAUGUGAACACGAGGUGCUUUAAUCCUGGGCAUGUGAGCAUAAAAAACUCCAAGUCUUGACCUGAUAUGGUUUUAGCCUGACUCUAGCAGUACUAAACCAUGUCCACUAAUGAAGCCAAUUGCCAUACUCUUUCCUCUUUCCCCCAUUUUUUUAAUAUGGCUUAAUGUUCACGAUUUUUAUAGAAUAAUAACUGCUAUAGUGAUAUAGUUCAGAGGGAGAGUCAGUGUCCUUUUUAACAUCACUAGACAUUGAUAUGAUCUGUUUCAUUACACCCAAAUUGUCACUUUUGUCCUUUUUUUGGUAUUUCCCCUUUAAAUGCAUGUACCCACUGUGUCUGGUGCGCCUGGGCGGUGAUGGCGCUGUUGCUUGGGCCUGAUCAUCAUUGCUUGCAACUAUAAUAUUAAUAUUAUUAUUAUUAGUAGAAACCCUUGUUGUUUUCCAUGACUGGCUCUCGAGCCCAGUUCAGCAGUGUGUGGCCGUGUGGGAUGAUGGAGUAAAAGGUCCAGUGAUUGGACUGGACUGGAGAUUGGACUGGACCGGAGAUUGGACUGUGUGGUGUGUCAGACAGCAGCAAUGCUUAUUAUUGUUCAUGUCGCCAUCUAGUGGCCAUUUCUGAAAUUUAUCAAAUAUUCUAUUCUUAUUGCAGACUGAUAUACUGACAAAUAUUGCAUCUGUACUGCAUUUCAUUUCUGUAAAUUUUACACAGUCUUUUAUAUAACAUCACUGUACAGAGUAUAACUUUAUUACAGUGCACUCAGGACAGUACUGCACUUCAGUAAAUAAGUGUAAGAUCUAUAGACCUAAAGAUGUCUGACUGCUGGGAAAAGUCAGAGUCUGCUAUUGGUUUUGGCUCAGUCUAAAACACACUGGGAUUAUACAUGAACUAAUCUUUUACUUUUAAUAAUAACUAUGUUUUAUUUAAAAGCAGCAACAUUAUCAAGUUUAUGCAUUAGAAUUUUAAACAUAAGACACUGUAGAAAGCAUUGGAUCCUGUUUAUUCAUGACCACAUGCAAGUCUCAGAUGGAGCAUUUAAACACACACACACACACACACACAGUUCCACAGUAACAAGGAUCACAGCAACAUGACAACAAACCUCACCUAACCUUCAGAGACAUUUAUUGACCUUUGCAGUAGGUAAAAAUGGCACUGAAUUAUUUUACUGGCAGACAGUAAUGUAGUUUAUGAUGUACACAGAUAUUCAGACUGACCAGCCCUGCAAGUGUAACGUCCACUACCAACCUGAUCAUGACCCAUGUGGAGGAAGUUUCUGACACUGUUUAAUUUACUGCAGAUUCACCACAGACAAGCCCCAUGUGGUCCAGACUGUAGGAGCAGAUGAUCCCAACAUGCCCCGCCUACAGACCACACCCACAGGCCAUACCUACAGACCACACCCACAGGCCAUACCUACAGACAAGACCAAUGUGGUCCAGAUUGUAGGAACAGAUGAUCCCAACAUGCCCCGCCCACAGACCACACCCACAGGCCAUACCCACAGGCCACACUCACAGGCCACACCUACAGACAAGACCAAUGAGGGCCAGAUUGUAGGAACAGAUGAUCCCAACAUGCCCCGCCCACAGACCACACCCACAGACAAGACCAGUGUGGUCCAGACUGUAGGAGCAGAUGAUCCCAACACUUCCUCAUAGAAACUAGUUCUAAUCAUCCAGACUGAUGAGCUUUUCCAGCUGCUCUCGUUUAGACACGCUUAAGGCCUGGUCACACUACAGGACUUUAACCAUCGGCAGAUCGCUUUUCUGUUCAGACUACAUGACUUCACUGUAUGUCUUUUUGUCCUUGUGGUGUUCACACUAUGCGACGCUUCAUAAAUGAUCCACAAGAGGGCGCCGCACACCACACCAUCUGACAACAACGCCGUGUCACUCAACGCCUCGACGCCGUCCCCAAACCACGUUUUGUCACGAAAACACACGCGACAGGUGGAUCCGGAAAUGACGCGAGACUUUCGGUUUGUUUUGAAAAUGGACGUCGGCAGGAGUCUCGCUCUAAAUAAAUGUUAAUUUAUUAAAAUAAAUGUUGUGUUCACACUAUUUUUGAAGCCAUGUUGCUGCUGCUGCUUUUCUUCCGGUGACCUCAACUCUGUUGACUUGCUCUCUCAUUGGCUGGAGGUCGUAGAGACGAACAGAGAGAUUAUCUGAUGCUCAGAUUACAGUUCCAUCUCCUUGUCUGAGAUAAAGCAUCUGGUUCUGGGGUUUUGUCUUUUUGGUGAGGCUGAAGAAAAAGCUGGGGGCAUCCAUGUCUUUAAUGCUGGAAAAGAGGCAUGCAGGACAAGCGGCUUAUCCAUGCAGGAAAGAACUUAAAAACCUCUUCCUUCCAAAUCUCUUGCUUACUCCGAGGACUUCGAAUCUCCGAACCUCCUUGGUCCACUACAUCUGGACUCUUAUCAACGAACCAAUGCAAGUAAAAGUUACUAAUUAUUUUAGAUCCACAAUUUUAAGCUGAAGCCCCUUUAUUUAAGGCGAAUCCUAAUUACCUUGACGAUUCUCACACAGGUGUAAUCAAAACUCGAUCUGAAACUUGUCAUAUUUGAUCUCUUCUCUGUUUCCUUAUCUCCUUCUCUCUCUCUCUCUCUCUCUCGUUCUGAUUUCCUCCGUAUUCCCUUCCUUAAUCUCAAUCUCUCUUUGCCUACUUAUCCCCUCUCUAUAAUCCUUAUUCUGUCUUUUAUGUUAUGUGUGUCGUAGUUAGUAUGUGUUGUGUGUUUCUGUUUUAUUAAAUGCAUUUUAUUCACGAGUGAUUGUCUCUGUGCUUUGCUCACAAUUUUGGGGUCCCUGAACAUUGACCUUGCUACGUGCUAAAUUACAGCUAGUACUUUAUAAAGUAGUUAUUCUUUCUUGGCCAGGAAGAUAACUUUUCCUGGAAUUAAUAAAUAAUUAUACUGUCUGUUCGCUGGACAAACAAAUCAAAUAAUUGUGUUAUUGAUUCUCUGACAGUUAGUUCUAAACUCCAUUUGAAUAUUUAUAAUUAAUUAUAACCAUACACAUAAGUGUAAGUUAUAAUUACACUUAAAUAUUUAAAUUUUGAGCUAAUUUCGUCACAGUCCUGUGCUUUUUUAUAUCAGAUGUCAUUAGGUCUAUUGUGACUAAAUGAUGAUCUGGAAUCCCAGUAGGGGAAAUGCUUUAUAAAAUCUACUUCUAUUGUGUUUGGUUAUGUAAAACCUGUCCAGUCUUGCUGCAGAGAUCCUUGUGUCAGUAACUUUAACCCAUGUGUAUUGUUUAAUUCCCUGUUUUUUCCCCUCCACACAUCAACUACACUACACUGACUCUUCAGAUGUCUUUGCGGACUGUGGGUGUGGUUCUUCCCCAUUUCUGUCUAAGACCCUUUAACUUCUUCACUGGAGGGAUUAAGAGAAGGAAGAGGGAAGAACAGGUAAGAACAGCAGUGAAGACAGAAGAGGACACCCAGUGUGAUGACUUCAUUUCCGCUUUCUUUUGCCAAUGGACUUCCGUAGCUUUGCUAAAUGAUUCUGUAACCUGUAUCUCUUCUUUUUAUCUAAUUCCUCAUAACUCGGUGUUCGUUGUCUUUACUGACUAACAUCUUUAUACUCUCUGAGACCUCUGCACACAUUGACCAUACCACAAUUUUGAAAUCCCCCAUGCUGUCUAACCCACCUGUUUGUUCUAAUACCUCUGCUCUGUUCAGCAUGGUCACUUCUACUGAUGCCUUCUCCAUCCUUUUCAUCUCUACACAUCUCUCUACAGUUGUCUGAAUGUCUGACCCGUUAUUUGUUUUUUUCACUUUCUUUUACUUUCUCAAUCUGUUUACCAUCAUCUACUUGUUCGUCACAUGUCUGUUCACUGCUGCUCUGCGCAUUAGCCUCUACAGUGGUUUGGUCAGUGUUCUGCCCUCCGGCAGCAUCUGACUGCCCCACACUACUACUUGUUCCAUCCUGCCUCUCAGCCCUGUCUCCUCUGGGCCCAACUUCCUCAUUGUCCUGUGUUCUGUGUGGACAAACAAACUUUUUGUGGCCGAUGUCCCCACACUCAAAACACCUCAUGUUCCCGGGACUGGCAAAUAGCAUGUAUGAUUUUCCUUCAUACCACACCCUGAAAGAUAUAUCUAAGGUGGGUUCAUUCAGAAACAUGAGCACUGUGUGCCUGAAAGAGACGACGUGCUUCAGUGAGGGGUUUUUACAGUUCAGUGAAACCAUUCUUAUAUCGCUCACUAUCUUCCAGAAGCGAGACAAUUCCCGCUCAAUAUUCUCAUUAGGAAUAAAUGGAGGAAUAUUAGACACUGUAACUUUGGUUGUUGUUGCGUCCAGCAGCGUUACAAAGUAAAACUCUCCAUUUACCCUGAUACCGUCUUCAGUCAGCUGCCGCACGAGCUCUCUGUCUUUUACAAACACCACCACAGCUUUAUUCAUCUGCAAUGCAGACACAAUGUUAUCACAUCCCACACUCUCUCCUACCGCCAGUAACACCUGCUCCACCGAGACCUCGGAGCUGACCUCACACCACUAUGGGAUCAAAUUUCCACCAAAAGUAUCCCAAAAAAUUCCCAAAUUUUGCGCUGCGAGUUUCAUGUAAAUUCGGGGUGGCUUUAGCGUCACCACUGGUCCACUACAUCUAGACCAGGGGUAGGCAGGUUCAGUCCUAGAGAGCCGCAGUCCUGCAGAUUUCAGCUCCAACCCUAAUCAAACACACCUGAACAAGCUAAUCAAGAUCUUCAGGAUUACUAAAGCUACAGGCAGGUGAGGUUUUUUUUCAGGGUUGGAGCUGAAAUCUGCAGGACUGCGGCUCUCUAGGACCGAACUUGCCUACCCCUGGUCUAGACUGACAGCUCCUCCUCUAGCCAAUCAAUGCUACUCGCAGUCAUUGGCUAUCUGGACAAUCGUGCAGUUUUUUCGCUCCACAAGUUCUUAUGGCUCAUUCCCGUCAGCAAAAUGCCGGACAGUCUCAGGUACCUGAACAUAAAUAUAUUGUUGGUGGCUGACAUAUACACUUUUUAAAGUUUUGCAAAAUAAAAUGUUGUCCUAGUUGGUCAUUAUAUAGCUAGUGUCAUUAUAUAGCAAAGAUUUUUAUAUUUUAGCCGUAGUUAAGGUUAUUGACUGUAUAAUCUAAAAAUGGGGGAAAGUGUACCUGCUUUUCCAUGAGGAUGAUGCUAUUAUGUAUUCAUCCUAAUUAAUUGGGACAUGUGGGACGUGUGUCAGGUCUUUUUCCAUGAUAGUACAACUGAAAACAGUAUCAAGACCAUCCAGUGGUGCAUUUAGACCAUUCAAUAAUUUACCUCUAGUUUAUUUUAAGAAAUGUACCAGAUUGUUGUCAUUGUGGUUUGCAUGUACCAUGUGUGAUAAAAAUGUAUGACUUUGUACAACAGAAUGAAAACAUCAAAAAAAGUGAAUGCUUUUUUUUUGUUGUUGUUGUUGAUAAUUUCACUUUUUUUUGAUAUUCAUAGAUUGUUUCAAGGUUGCUUAAGAGAGACUUCUGUCUCGCCUACAGGAAGCCAUACAGCACCUGCCUCUGGACCUGGAUUAUUUAUAUUUUAUUUGCACAAAUGGCUUAAUAUUGAUCACUUCACACAAAAAUCGUGCACACUUGCCUCGAGAGGUAUAUCUCUGUCAAACCUGUGUUCUAUACUUUCUAUUCGACUGGACACAAGGCAUACCACUUCAGUUUCUGUGGAUGAAUUGAAAUUCGACCAGCAGGACGUCUGAAACUCAUCGUAUCUGAGCAGCACCUCAGACAAUUGAUUGAAAUUGGUCUAAAUGUACCCUGCAUUUCAAAACUGCUGGCUUGUCAGCACGAACUGUAGAACGGAGAAUGCAUGAUUUUGGUAUUACAGUGAGAGGAACAUACAGUCAUCUGACAGAUGAAGAUUUAGACAAUUUUGUGGUUGCAAUCAAAACAACAUCACCACACUCAGGUUACAGAAUGACGAGAGAACACGUGCAGGCUCUUCGUCAUCGGGUACAGUGGAGCAGAGUCUGGGACUCUAUGAAUAGAGUCGAUUCAGCUGGAGUCCUUGGUAAAAUGUCACAACUUGGACAUGUUGUAAGAAGAUCAUAUGCAGUUCAAGCAUCUCUGUCCCUUGUGCAUUUGGACACCAACCACAAGCUGAUCAGAUAUUUGGGGGCAUAGACAGCUACUCAAGAAAGGUUAGUGGUGGAUUUUUUUCAUGAAAUAAUUGUAUAAAUGUUUUGUAGUCAUACAGUUAUGUAGAUGCUAGUAACUUUAUAAAACAAGUUAUUCAUUAGAUCAUGUAUUUGGGAGCAGCAACCAACAACAGAGCAGAGACUGCUCUAGGUUUUUUCCUUGAGGCAGUAGAGAAACAUGGAGUUCCCUCACAGUAUUUUUGCACAUUUGACUACAUCCAUCCAUCCAUCCAUCCAUCCAUCCGUCUGUCUGUUGGUCUUAAAACCUUCAUUAAUAUUUAAAGCUGCAUCAAAUGUCAACUCUUCAAAAUUUAAGAUAUUACAUUUAUUUUUAAAACUGAGGACACCAUGCCAACACCAAAGUUUGAUGUUCACAGUUCAGGGCUGUGGCGGGGGAAGUUUCAUUCAUAAUCGAAGGUAAUUUCUUGUUUGUUUAGGGUGGGUAAUUCCCUUCAACUUUUUGAAUUAUAAAUGACUGUUGGCUAAUUGUAUGUAAGAAUAUUUUUGUUUUUCAUGUUUAGGGUUGAAAGGUUGUGGACAGGUGUGUGGAUGUCCCUUUCGAACUUGUAUUAGGAUGUUCUACACAGUCUGGAAGAAAGUAGCUCUCUUGAGCCAUCAAAAACCCUUCACCUCUUCUGUGUACAUUAUGUUUUUCUUCCACGCCUCCUAAGAGACCUAGGACCUCAACAUUUCGUUGCCCGAAUGCACUUACCCUCUGGAGGAGCAGAACACAGGAGUAGUGGUCCCUCAGGUGGAGUGUCUGCUCUCAGAGGAUGAAAUGGCACAACUGAGGACAAACAUUAAUCCAGUCUCACAGUCAAGAGACUUUGGCCAAGAUAUUUACUUGUCAGUGCUAGAUUUUGUACAACAGCUUGUUGAAGCAUAAAGCAAGAAAGUAUAAUUCUUUGAUUUUUUUUCUGUAAAAUUUAUGGUGUCAUUUUAACUAAUCUGUACCUAGCAAUUGUAACAUUUUUUAAGCCUUAAUUUAUUUCAUAACCAAUGUGAAAUUAUGAGUGAAUGAACACCUUUGAUAUGAAAAUAAAAUACAAGCAAUGACUUUUGAA